UUACUACACGACGUCUCAUCUUUGGACACACAAAAACUGCAAGGAAAAGUGACAUAGGCCGGCAGGCAGCCUGCCGGCAAAGGUUUUUUGCCGGCAGUUAAGGCUGGCCAGCUAUAUUGCUGACCGCAAAACUCUUUGCCGGCAGGUAGACUUUUACCGGCAGGCAAUCUGCCUUGCUUACUGCACUUUUCCCAAAAGGUUCGCCAUUCACCGGCAGGUAUAUUUUUCAUGCCGGCAUACUUUUACCGGCAGUAAAUACAUUUCCCGGCAGACAGCGGAGUCCGAACACGUUGCCACUUAGUCCCGUCCCAUGCAUGUUACGCUUGGUUCCACCCAUGGAUUGAUAUAUGCAAUUUAGUAGAGCUAUCUAGCCUAGAGUUCUUGGGUGCCUACAACUACCAUCACCUCUCUCGCUCCUUCCGUACACCACAGUCAAGUUUGCGCUCAGACGCUAGUGGGACUCAUGAGUCAUGAUUGACACUCCAGUCCCGACAUGAAAGGAAUCGGUCAAGAUGAGCAGUAAUAUUUAUGAACCCAACUUGUAAUUAAGGAGAAUUGCUCAGAUCUUGUAACAUCCCAAAAUUUCAAACUUUUACAUGUGCAUUGCAUCCAUGAGCAUCAUGCCACAAUUGCAUAUUUGAAUUCAAAUUUGAAUCUCAAAAGGGCUUUAAAAGACUUUGUUUACACCCAUUUAAGCUAUCCCAUAAUUUUUGGAUAAUUAUUUGGAGUUGAAAAAGUAUUUUAUUUUAAUAGAUAUAUAUAGCCCUAAAGGCAUUUAUAGGGCAAAUGUAUUUUUAUAUAUUUUAUUUUGAGGGGAAACUACUCCCAAAAGCAGAAUCAUGGUAGAACAUGAUUUUACAAAUUUUCUGGAAUUUAUUUGGACCAAUUUGGAGUUCAAAAUCAAAAGAUAUCAAAAAAAUAAGAAAAACAGAAAAAGAAAAGGGCUAAAGGAAAAAAAAGAGAAAACCGGACGGGCC
rnacentral:lncRNA from 1 species